GGCUUCCGGCCGAAGCUGGGCAAAGUGGGCUAUGACUAGAAUAACCACUUCUGCUUGUUGAACUACUGAGGAGAUCGACCCCCAAGUUUACCUACUGCGCCUGUGCGUUUUCUUUUUCCGUUUCCGUUUCUUUAAGCGGUCAGCCGAGAGUUGCUGAACAGUAGCGGCUGGGCUACUGUGGGUUAUCCUUGGCGUAGAAGGAGCCGCCGGUGUCCCGACUUGUUUGGAGAAGAGUUGCGGACAGUCCCGAAAUGGAAGAGAGGGAGGUGACUUGUACAAAUAAAGACUGACGGUGAGGAUUACUGUUUGGAUUCUUUCAAGAUGAGCUUCCUAUUGCCCAAGCUAACUAGCAAAAAAGAAGUAGACCAAGCAAUAAAAAGUACUGCAGAGAAGGUGUUGGUCCUCAGGUUUGGGAGAGAUGAGGAUCCUGUCUGUCUGCAGCUAGAUGAUAUACUUUCUAAGACCUCCUCUGACCUGAGUAAAAUGGCUGCCAUAUAUCUGGUAGAUGUGGACCGAACUCCCGUUUACACGCACUAUUUUGACAUCAGUUAUAUUCCGUCUACUGUGUUUUUCUUCAAUGGGCAGCAUAUGAAAGUGGAUUAUGGGUCUCCAGAUCACACUAAGUUUGUGGGAAGUUUCAAAACCAAGCAGGACUUCAUAGAUUUGAUUGAAGUAAUUUAUCGAGGAGCAAUGAGGGGAAAACUUAUUGUCCAAAGUCCUAUUGAUCCCAAGAAUAUUCCCAAAUAUGACCUUCUCUAUCAAGACAUUUAGCACAUUUACUAUUCAAAGUUGAAGACAAAGGCGCAUCUUGAAGCAGUACCUGAAUCCAGCUGUGCUGUCUCCCUGGACUCCUUCAGAAAGGUGUUCAGCGUUCCAGCGGAGAAGAGGUCUGACUUGGACAGAAAAUACCCCACCUCCGAGUAGAAGGCCACACUGGUACCGUGGUGAGCAGGAUUUUGCUGAAAUGUCUGUUCCCUGCAAACCUCAGAGCAGUCAAGACAACUGUAGUCUGUUUUCCCAGCGUGAUUUUUUAAAUUUAUAUUGUGCUUCUCUUUAUUCCUUAAGAUGAUACAGAAUCCUUCUAAACAUUGCCUAGUAUAGUUUAAUUUAACUAUGUUUAUUUGGUACACAAGUGAAAUAGAAAAUCCGUUCCCACAAGAACAGAAAUACUUAUUUUGUACCCUAGAUGUGUACACACACACACACGCACGCACGCUCCCCUCGCCCAUUCCUCCACUCAGAUAUGUAUCGCGUGCUUUCCCAUGUCCAGUUCCUAUUACCCCUGUUUCUCUUGGAUAAAUGAUUCUCUACGGAUAGUGGGCAAAUUUGUCUUAUUCUGGAAACUUUCUGGCUUAGACUUCUAAAACAGUAGCCUGGUUUGCUCAUUUUACUAGUUUUUAUGUUAUCAGAUAGCCUAAGAAAUGAGACCUUGAACCUUCAUCAUCCAGCACCCAAUUUGAGCUAAACAAAAAAUUAACUACCUAUACUAAGUAGGAACAGGUUUCUCCCAGAAGUCAGAGUCUGCCUCUCUCUGAGGCAGAGAAUUUCACUCCAAGGACUCAAGACUGGAAAGAGAUGUCAGAAUUGUUAGAAAUAACGUCUUUAUGGUAUCUGCCUGUUUUAAUAACUUUAUGAAGACUUCUCACUCUUCCAGCAUCCCUGGCAUAACCUGCCACUGCUUGGACAAGUGACUGCUUCUCUCAAAACCUCACAGAGCCUCUGGAUCCUGACUUUCUAGAACAGGAAAGGAGAUGUAGAGCUGGAGGGCCGUGGGCCAGGCAGCAUGGACCUGCUCGGCAGUUGCAGGCCUCCCGGCCGACAGAAGCCCAACUCCAUGCACACCAGCACUGUCGCUGCAAGUGCAUCCCUCCUUUACCAGCUGCUUCCUUUCUGAGCCUCAUGGGCAGGAAGAGGUGACCACUGAUGGGGCAUAGAAGGAAGGCUGCUGGGGCUUUUGCGUCCUUCGCUGAUGAAAGAAGAGAGCCGCCACCACCUCUGUGUUCUCUGCCCCUCUUCCUGCUCUGGUUACCUUGAUCCAUGGUACUGCAGCAGCCAUCCUAGGACCGUGAGGACCAGCGUGAAAAGUGAAUGUGUGGAGAAGAACGAUAAAAAGAACCUGGGUCCCUGAUGAUGUUUUGAGCCACUGAGUGAGCUCUGGACCUGCCUCCCUCCAGACCCCUAUGACAGAAUAAAACAUCUUCAUUGCCUGUCACUGUUCAUUGGACUUUCUGUCAGAGCCUAAAUCACACGGUAUUUGACGUGGGGCCACCUGAACUGGAGCAAGUUACUCAAUGUGUCUGUGCCUCAGCUUCCUCAUCAGCACAAUGAGAAUAAUAACAGGAUCUCUCCGGCGGGGUCAUGAGACCUCAGUGAGCAGAUACAUGUGAAGCCCUUAGUGCAGGGAGCACAGUUCUAGGUCCGGGCCGCCUGCCGUCAUCACCGGCGCCACCCUUGGUUCUUUUACCUCCUCUGGGAGACGGAGAUCUCCCUCUGGGAUGAGUAGGCUACAUGGCAUCACCUCCCCUUGACAAAGGGGCAAACUUGAGGCUAAGUUAAUUUGCCCAAAAGGCCGGUCGCUGGUGACAAAACCCUUAUUAGCGUCUACCUCUUCUGGUUCCAAGGAGAACGUGUCAGCUUUCUAACCCAUCGCCCCUGGCCCCGCUCAUCGUGGAAAGGCUGGGGUGGGAGGGCGCGGGGACACGUGUCCAGGUCUUACCGUCUCCUUCAGUGCGCAGCCUGUAGAGGGGCUUACAGUGGUAGUGAACCAAGUGCUCCACGUAGCCAUUUUCAAUCUCGGGGGGCUUCGGGAUGCUGACCU